rnacentral:rRNA from 1 species
AACGAACGCUGGCGGCAUGCCUAACACAUGCAAGUCGAGCGAGAUCUUCGGGUCUAGUGGCGCACGGGUGCGUAACGCGUGGGAAUCUGCCCUUUGGUUCGGAAUAACAGUUGGAAACGACUGCUAAUACCGGAUGAUGACGAAAGUCCAAAUAUUUAUCGCCAGAGGAUGACCCCGCGUAGGAUUAGCUAGUUGGUGUGGUAAAGGCGCACCAAGGCGACUAUCCUUAGCUGGUCUGAGAGGAUGAUCACCCACACUGGGACUGAGACACGGCCCACACUCCUACGGGAGGCAGCAGUGGGGAAUAUUGGACAAUGGGCGAAAGCCUGAUCCAGCAAUGCCGCGUGAGUGAUGAAGGGCUUAGGGUUGUAAAGCUCUUUUACCCGGGAUGAUAAUGACAGUACCGGGAGAAUAAGCUCCGGCUAACUCCGUGCCAGCAGCCGCGGUAAUACGGAGGGAGCUAGCGUUGUUCGGAAUUACUGGGCGUAAAGCGCACGUAGGCGGCUUUGUAAGUUAGAGGUGAAAGCCUGGAGCUCAACUCCAGAACUGCCUUUAAGACUGCAUCGCUUGAAUCCAGGAGAGGUGAGUGGAAUUCCGAGUGUAGAGGUGAAAUUCGUA